rnacentral:lncRNA from 1 species
ACUGCGUCCUGAGCCCUACCCCUUGACCAGCCACUUAGUUUGCUCUGGAAUUCCCGUUCUCCUGAAGGGGAGAGGAGAGCCUCGCGGAAGGUCCCACGCACCCCUCAACCUGGGGUCUAGACCAGGCGGUCCCAAAGCUUCUGCGAACAGCUGUGCCCAGCAUGAGGAGGAGUGCAGGUCACCGACGGGCUAGAAUGACGUGCAGUACUAGGAAAAAGAACUGGAACAAAUAAUCCUAAAAUUUGUAUGGAACUUCAAAAGACUGAGUUGCCCAAGCAAUCUUGAGAAAAAAGAACAAAGCUGGAGAUAUGCUCCCCAAUUUCUCAAUAUGCAAUGCUACAGUCAUCAAAACGGCACUGUGUAGCUGUACAUGAACAUCUCUGCAAUUGAUCGACUGAUGAUACUUCUGUCUUACAUGAGAUCACUAAGUUACCAUGGAGUCACUCUGUGAAGAAGCCCUCUCCUUUGGGAAGAUGCCCACCCAGCAGGGAGACCUCAUGGACCAGUUCACAAUUUGUUUUCAGACAUAUUAACCCCACAAAUACAACAUAUCAUAUUAUGCCUUGUACUACCAGAGCAGUAGCCCCACCAGGGAUCACCAGAGCAGUUACCCUAGCCCCAGGUGUAUACUCCCAGCUCUGUGUUCACUGGAUACUUGUUCCCUAGAAUUUCUAAAGUACAUACAAUAAACUGUUUUCAGGAAAAAUAUUCCUGUGCCUGAGCCCCAUUAGAGAUGUUGCUAUGGUUGGGUGGCUGAGCUUGCCCAGACUAGGAUGCAAUUUUCAUGUCCACGGCUUUGAGUCCAGCUUUCAGCUCACAACUGGAGGGUGACUUGAAUGCCGCUUGGAGAUACACAAAGAUUUCUUGCUCAAGCCUGAAAUUGGAGUGUCCUUCCUCUCCUGGCUCUGCCCCCUCUUACCCUCCAGCAUCCUCCUACUUCUCCUCUAUCUUAAUCCCAGGGAUCCUCCAGCAUCUGAGCAAUACAGUGGGUGAAUGUGUGUGUAGGAACUUUGGCCAUCUCCUCCUGUGGGGCACGGUAGGCCCAGGUGAGGUCAGGAGGUAAAGCAUUGAUAAACUCAUUAAGUCCUAAAUUUUUAAAAAGACAAAAACAAAUAAAAUAGAGCUGAAACUAGAGCAGUAAGCCAACAGAGUUACCUACUCUAGAGUUGACCUGGGGUAGGGGUAUGACUAUUCCACCAUCCUGUCAGAAACAGAAGCUUCUUUUAGUUCCUUUGUGUCUCAUCUCAUUCAACCUGCUGCAUGAAUAUGAAAGUGCAAUCAAUGCAUUCAUAAGAUUUUAUCAUUAUUAUUAUCAACAAAGAGCUUUAUAAAUAUAUUUCUCUUCAAGGACAUCAUUCUAUUGUAUUAGGACUUCAUGUUUCUUGCAUGCCUAGUAUAGAAGUUCUAGCAGCUGCCUGGAAUUAUUUUUUUUCUUGUGGAUAAAUAAGGCCAUCUGAGUAAAUAUGUAAUUAGGACCAUAAUGGCACAUUUUGACUGCUUUUAAUAAAUAACACCAACCA